GAGAAAGACAGAUGGGAAUUUGUGCCUUCUCUCCACUGAAAGCAACAGGGAGAAAGUCUUGGAGCUGGGAACCCUUCCUGAUUGUUUACUCUGCCUGGCUACCUGCCCAUAGCAGCUUCUUGGAUCUCUCCCUGAGAGCCCCCAUGACAGCUAUUCUGAAGGUCAGUUAUUUGCAUGCUUGUUAACACACAUCCUGUAGGACAAGCAAGGACAAGAAGAGACAUGCAAACUUAAAUGAAACCAUUCAGGUACAGUUGUAAAGGCUGAACAGCCUGAGUGUACACAGCCUGAGUGAGGCCUGCAUGUGAAAUGUAAGUGUUCUUAGUUACAUUAAACACUAUUUCAUUCUUCUUAAGGCCUUCCAUGGGCAAGUGGAGGAGAAGAGUGAGUCCAAAGAGGGAGAAGAGAGCCCUCAAUAAUUUUUCCCUGGGUUUUUCUUAAAUAUCAGGCACGUCUCACAAAACAUAACACUGUACCUGUCAAUGUGGAUUUCUCAUUGAAAACAGUUAUGUGUGAACAUUUAGUGGACAGAGACAAAAGAACCAGAUUAUAACUUGACAUUCAAUGGAA